CCUACGGGAGGCAGCAGUGGGGAAUAUUGGGCAAUGGGCGCAAGCCUGACCCAGCAACGCCGCGUGAAGGAAGAAGGCUUUCGGGUUGUAAACGUCUUUUAAGAGGGAAGAGAAGAAGACGGUACCUCUUGAAUAAGCCACGGCUAACUAAGUGCCAGCAGCCGCGGUAAUACGUAGGUGGCAAGCGUUGUCCGGAUUUACUGGGGGUAAAGGGCGUGCAGCCGGGAAGACACGUCAGAUGUGAAAUCCCGCGGCUCAACCGCGGAACUGCAUUUGAAACUGUUUUUCUUGAGUACCGGAGAGGUCAUCGGAAUUCCUUGUGUAGCGGUGAAAUGCGUAGAUAUAAGGAAGAACACCAGUGGCGAAGGCGGAUGACUGGACGGCAACUGACGGUGAGGCGCGAAAGCGUGGGGAGCAAACAGGAUUAGAUACCCCUGUAGUC
rnacentral:rRNA from 1 species